rnacentral:rRNA from 1 species
AUUGAACGCUGGCGGCAGGCCUAACACAUGCAAGUCGAGCGGAUGAAGGGAGCUUGCUCCUGGAUUCAGCGGUGGACGGGUGAGUAAUGCCUAGGAAUCUGCCUGGUAGUGGGGGAUAACGUCCGGAAACGGGCGCUAAUACCGCAUACGUCCUGAGGGAGAAAGUGGGGGAUCUUCGGACCUCACGCUAUCAGAUGAGCCUAGGUCGGAUUAGCUAGUUGGUGGGGUAAAGGACUACCAAGGCGACGAUCCGUAACUGGUCUGAGAGGAUGAUCAGUCACACUGGAACUGAGACACGGUCCAGACUCCUACGGGAGGCAGCAGUGGGGAAUAUUGGACAAUAGGCGAAAGCCUGGUCCAGCCAUGCCGCGUGUGUGAAGAAGGUCUUCGGAUUGUAAAGCACUUUAAGUUGGGAGGAAGGGCAGUAAGUUAAUACCUUGCUGUUUUGACGUUACCAACAGAAUAAGCACCGGCUAACUACGUG